UACGAAGGGGGCUAGCGUUGCUCGGAAUCACUGGGCGUAAAGCGCACGUAGGCGGAUUGUUAAGUCAGGGGUGAAAUCCUGGAGCUCAACUCCAGAACUGCCUUUGAUACUGGCGAUCUUGAGUCCGGGAGAGGUGAGUGGAACUCCGAGUGUAGAGGUGAAAUUCGUAGAUAUUCGGAAGAACACCAGUGGCGAAGGCGGCUCACUGGCCCGGUACUGACGCUGAGGUGCGAAAGCGUGGGGAGCGAACAGG
rnacentral:rRNA from 1 species